UGGUCUGCGGAGACAUUACUGAUUUGCUUAUUGCACCACAUGUGUUUUUUAUUGAACAAAUUUCUUUGGUGGCGGGAGCAAUCCUACCGCCAGAGGUUAUAACUAAACCAAACUUUUUAUUUACAGUCAAACUUGAUUUAUUAUUACAAUAGUCAAAACUUUCAACAACGGAUCUCUUGGUUCUCGCAUCGAUGAAGAACGCAGCGAAAUGCGAUACGUAAUAUGAAUUGCAGAUAUUCGUGAAUCAUCGAAUCUUUGAACGCACAUUGCGCCCUUUGGUAUUCCAAAGGGCAUGCCUGUUUGAGCGUCAUUUCUCCCUCAAACCCCCGGGUUUGGUGUUGAGCAAUACGCUAGGUUUGUUUGAAAGAAUUUAACGUGGAAACUUAUUUUAAGCGACUUAGGUUUAUCCAAAAACGCUUAUUUUGCUAGGGGCCACCACAAUUUAUUUCAUACCUUUGACCUCAAAUCAGGUAGGACUACCCGCUGAACUUAACCAUAUCAAAAGCCGGAGG
rnacentral:rRNA from 1 species